UACGAAGGGGGCUAGCGUUGCUCGGAAUCACUGGGCGUAAAGCGCGCGUAGGCGGAUUGUUAAGUCAGGGGUGAAAUCCUGGAGCUCAACUCCAGAACUGCCUUUGAUACUGGCAAUCUCGAGUCCGGGAGAGGUGAGUGGAACUGCGAGUGUAGAGGUGAAAUUCGUAGAUAUUCGCAAGAACACCAGUGGCGAAGGCGGCUCACUGGCCCGGUACUGACGCUGAGGUGCGAAAGCGUGGGGAGCAAACAGG
rnacentral:rRNA from 1 species